UCCCUGGUGGUCCAGUAGUUAGGACUCUGCACUUCCACUGCAGUGUGGCCAUGUUCAAUUCCUGGUCAGGCAA
rnacentral:tRNA from 1 species